GAUGAACGCUAGCGACAGGCUUAACACAUGCAAGUCGAGGGGCAGCGGGGGCGUAGCAAUAUGCCUGCCGGCGACCGGCGCACGGGUGAGUAACACGUAUGUAACCUGCCCUAUGCAGGGGGAUAACCCGGAGAAAUCCGGCCUAAUACCGCGUAACACCUUUUGGGAGCAUUCCCGGGAGGUUAAAGGAGAGAUCCGGCAUAGGAUGGACAUGCGUCGCAUUAGGUAGACGGCGGGGUAACGGCCCACCGUGCCGACGAUGCGUAGGGGUUCUGAGAGGAAGGCCCCCCACACUGGUACUGAGACACGGACCAGACUCCUACGGGAGGCAGCAGUGAGGAAUAUUGGUCAAUGGCCGAGAGGCUGAACCAGCCAAGUCGCGUGAGGGAAGAAUGUCCUAAGGAUUGUAAACCUCUUUUGUCGGGGAGCAAAAAGGCUCUGCGGAGUCGUAUUGAGAGUACCCGAAGAAAAAGCAUCGGCUAACUCCGUGCCAGCAGCCGCGGUAAUACGGAGGAUGCGAGCGUUAUCCGGAUUUAUUGGGUUUAAAGGGUGCGCAGGCGGCGUGUCAAGCAAGCGGUAAAAUAGCGGGGCUCAACCCCGUCGAGCCGUUUGAACUGGCGCGCUUGAGUUCAGGCGAGGUAGGCGGAAUUCGUGGUGUAGCGGUGAAAUGCAUAGAUAUCACGAAGAACUCCGAUUGCGAAGGCAGCUUACCAGUCUGCGACUGACGCUCAGGCACGAAAGUGUGGGUAUCGAACAGGAUUAGAUACCCUGGUAGUCCACACAGUAAACGAUGAGCGCUAGGUGUCCGGGUCGCAUGAGACUUGGGUGCCCGAGCGAAAGCGUUAAGCGCUCCACCUGGGGAGUACGCCGGCAACGGUGAAACUCAAAGGAAUUGACGGGGGCCCGCACAAGCGGAGGAACAUGUGGUUUAAUUCGAUGAUACGCGAGGAACCUUACCCGGGCUCAAACGACUCAGGAAUAUAUUGGAAACGAUGUAGCCAGCAAUGGUCUGAGUCGAGGUGCUGCAUGGUUGUCGUCAGCUCGUGCCGUGAGGUGUCGGCUUAAGUGCCAUAACGAGCGCAACCCCUACCGCCAGUUGCCAACGGGUAAAGCCGGGAACUCUGGCGGGACUGCCGGCGCAAGCUGCGAGGAAGGCGGGGAUGACGUCAAAUCAGCACGGCCCUUACGUCCGGGGCGACACACGUGUUACAAUGGCAGGUACAGCGGGAAGCCACCUGGUGACAGGGAGCGGAACCCGAAAGCCUGUCUCAGUUCGGAUUGGAGUCUGCAACUCGACUCCAUGAAGCUGGAUUCGCUAGUAAUCGCGCAUCAGCCAUGGCGCGGUGAAUACGUUCCCGGGCCUUGUACACACCGCCCGUCAAGCCAUGGGAGCCGGGGGUGCCUGAAGUACGUGACCGCGAGGAGCGUCCUAGGGCAAAACUGGUGACUGGGGCUAAGUCGUAACAAGGUAGCCGUACCGGAAGGUGCGGCUGGAACACCUCCUUUCUGGAGCGCGAUUGAAAGCGCCGGAGCUGUCCACCGCCUCUGUCAACCCGGCAGAGAGGACACACUCGAGAGGAUAGGUUGCCGCCUUGGUCUUGACCUAUUAUUUGAUGGCAUUGAAUUUACAGAGGGAUGCUUUUCUAACAAGCAUGAUGUGUUACUGCUUCAAGUCUAUUGCAACGGGGGAUUAGCUCAGCUGGCUAGAGCACCUGCUUUGCAAGCAGGGGGUCAACGGUUCGAAUCCGUUAUUCUCCACUUUACCGGCGUCAGUGUUUUUUGAACAUGACACUGGGCGCGGUACCGGUCGCAGAUUGACAUUAUGGAAGCAAAAUCAAAUCUCAUCUCAAAAAGAAGAGAAAAAGAUCACAACGAGCGGUUGCCGAUUCCGAAAGGAUCGGUGACAAGCGACAAGAUCUCGAGCUAAGAAAAAGAAAAAGGAAAGGAGAAAAGGGCACAUGAAGGAUGCCUAGGCUCCCGGAGGCGAAGAAGGACGUGACAAGCUGCGAUAAGCCAUGGUAAGGGGCAAAUACCCGUUCAGCCAUGGAUUUCCGAAUGGGGCAACCCGUCGGUAGAGAUACCGUCAUCCGCGUAAGUGGAAGCUAACCCGGGGAACUGAAACAUCUCAGUACCCGGAGGAAAAGAAAACAAAAGUGAUUGCGCAAGUAGUGGCGAGCGAACGCGCAGAAGCCCAAACCGUAUCCGUGGUAACGCGGAUACGGGGUUGUAGGACCGUCGCCGGUAUUGUAUUUUAAUGAGAGCGGAAAUGACUGGAACGUCAUACCGCAGAGGGUGAAAGUCCCGUAUGCGAAUCAUUUGGAUACAAUCAGACGGCACCUGAGUAAGCCGGAACACGAGAAAUUCUGGCCGAAUCCGCGGGGACCAUCCCGUAAGGCUAAAUACUCCCGGGAGACCGAUAGUGAACC
rnacentral:rRNA from 1 species